rnacentral:misc_RNA from 1 species
GAUGAAGAACGUAGCGAAAUGCGAUACGUAAUGUGAAUUGCAGAAUUCAGUGAAUCAUCGAAUCUUUGAACGCAUAUUGCGCUCUCUGGUAUUCCGGAGAGCAUGCUUGUUUGAGUAUCAGUAAACACCUCAACUUCCAUAUCUUUUUUGAAAUGGGAGUUGGACUUGAGUGAUCCCAACGCUUUUCCUCACCGAAAAGUGGCGGGUUACUUGAAAUGCAGGUGCAGCUGGACUUUUCUCUGAGCUAUAAGCAUAUCUAUUUAGUCUGCCUAAAAACAGAUUAUUACCUUUGCUGCAGCUAACAUAAAGGAGAUUAGUUCUUGUGCUGACUGAUGCAGGAUUCACAAAGACAGGCUUCGGCCGACUUUGUAAACUCGAUCUCAAAUCAAGUAAGACUGCCCGCUGAACUUAAGCAUAUCAAUAAGCGGAGGA